UUAACCUUGCCCGGUCGCUGUAAACCCAGCGACCAGGUUUGGUCACCUGAAAU
rnacentral:ncRNA from 1 species